rnacentral:rRNA from 1 species
GACGAACGCUGGCGGCGUGCUUAACACAUGCAAGUCGAGCGGAAAGGCCUCUUCGGGGGUACUCGAGCGGCGAACGGGUGAGCAACACGUGAGUAAUCUGCCCUUCACUCUGGGAUAGCCACCGGAAACGGUGAUUAAUACCGGAUACGACACGUCCAGGCAUCUGGUGCGUGUGGAAACUUUUGGGGUGGGGGAUGUGCUCGCGGCCUAUCAGCUUGUUGGUGGGGUAAUGGCCUACCAAGGCUUCGACGGGUAGCCGGCCUGGGGGGGUGACGGGCCACACUGGGGCUGAGACACGGCCCAGACGCCUACGGGAGGCAGCAGUGGGGAAUAUUGGACAAUGGGCGGAAGCCUGAUCCAGCAACGACGCGUGAGGGAUGACGGCCUUCAGGUUGUAAACCUCUUUCAGCACCGACGAAGCGAUCCUUUGGGGAGUGACGGUAGGUGCAGAAGAAGGACCGGCCAACUACGUGCCAGCCGCCGCCGUAAUAC